UAAACCUUGGAGGUUAUUCAACUGGUGAAAGGUUUGAAGACAGGCAAAAAGCUGUCUGCAGAAUUUCCCUGCUUCAAUCAAGAGCAAAUGCUGUGCCCUGAUGGGGAUUCUCAAUCCAUCAAAAGUGGUUUUCGCUGUCAGAAAAGCACUUUUGAGCAAUGCAUCUGAAAAUAAGUGUCCUUGAUCCAUCUGGAAACAUGUGAGUCUCCAGAACCAGUCUUCAGAAAGCAUCACUGAACAUUGUACCAACUCUUUCUCCUUGCAGAUGUGGACCUUGAGAUGAAUUCUGAAGGCAAAGAAUUAUAUCCUCCUUUGAGCCCUUAGAUGAAAUGCAUGAUGUUAU